rnacentral:rRNA from 1 species
CCUACGGGUGGCAGCAGUGAGGAAUAUUGGUCAAUGGUCGGGAGACUGAACCAGCCAAGCCGCGUGAGGGAUGAAGGUACAGAGUAUCGUAAACCUCUUUUGUCAGGGAACAAAGGCGGGGACGUGUCCCCGGAUGAGUGUACCUGAAGAAAAAGCAUCGGCUAACCCCGUGCCAGCAGCCGUGGUAAUACGGAGGAUGAGAGCGUGAUCCGGUUGUAGGGGGUUAAAAGGGUGCGCAGGCGGUCUGUUACGUCAGAGGUCAAAGCCCGGGGCUCAACCCCGGCCCGCCGUUGAAACUGGCAGUCUCGAGUUGGAGAGAGGUAUGCGGAAUGCGCGGUGUAGCGGUGAAAUGCAUAGAUAUCGCGCAGAACUCCGAUUGCGAAGGCAGCAUGCCGGCUCCACACUGACGCUGAGGCACGAAAGCGUGGGUAUCGAACAGGAUUAGAUACCCUAGUAGUC